GAACAUGUCUCUGCUAUUCAUUUCCAAUUUCCAGAGCUCUGUAUGAGUUGGCAAAUAUCCAUCAUCCACAAAGGGCCCGGGCUGAUUUUAUCCCCAACAAACUGGUGUCAGAAGUUUUUGGGUGCAAUUGGACGGAACAGAGAUGACAGGUAAGAGGAUCUUUAAAGUCCUUCUUUACCUGCUUCUCCCAUCCCCCACACAUUGCAUUUGUAAUGGGGUUUUUCACUUUUUAAAAUUUUAAAGGGGAUUUUCACUGCAUAAUGUCUUUGGUAGACAUGGUAUUUAUAAGUCUUAGGUAGACUUCUAUUACUCCACGGGUUGGAGGAUUGCCUUUGGUAGGCAGUAGUAGUUAUGUGCACAUGUCCUCUUUGGUAAGAGGUUCACCUUUGGCCAGGUGUUAAAA